rnacentral:tRNA from 1 species
GCCUUCGUGGUGUAGUGGUCAGCACACUCGGCGCGUAUUCGAGAGGUCCGCGGUUCGAGUCCGCGCGAUGGCA